UACGAAGGGGGCUAGCGUUGCUCGGAAUUACUGGGCGUAAAGCGCACGUAGGCGGCUUUCUAAGUCGGGGGUGAAAUCCUGGAGCUCAACUCCAGAACUGCCUUCGAUACUGGAGAGCUCGAGUCCGGGAGAGGUGAGUGGAACUGCGAGUGUAGAGGUGAAAUGCGUAGAUAUCAAGAGGAACACCUGAGGUGAAGACGGGUUGCUGGGCUGACACUGACGCUGAGGAGCGAAAGCGUGGGGAGCGAACAGG
rnacentral:rRNA from 1 species